GAGUUUGAUCUUGGCUCAGAUUGAACGCUGGCGGAAUGCUUUACACAUGCAAGUCGAGCGGCAGCGCGGGGCAACCUGGCGGCGAGCGGCGAACGGGUGAGUAAUGUAUCGGAACGUGUCCUGAGAUGGGGGAUAGCCCGGUGAAAACCGGAUUAAUACCGCAUACGAUCGAGAGAUGAAAGUGGGGGACCGCAAGGCCUCACGUCUUAGGAGCGGCCGAUAUCUGAUUAGCUAGUUGGUGGGGUAAAGGCCCACCAAGGCUUCGAUCAGUAGCUGGUCUGAGAGGAUGAUCAGCCACACUGGGACUGAGACACGGCCCAGACUCCUACGGGAGGCAGCAGUGGGAAUUUUGGACAAUGGGGCAACCCUGAUCCAGCCAUUCCGCGUGAGUGAAGAAGGCC
rnacentral:rRNA from 1 species